rnacentral:rRNA from 1 species
AUUGAACGCUGGCGGCAGGCUUAACACAUGCAAGUCGAGCGGAGCGAGGGUGCUUGCACCUUAGCUUAGCGGCGGACGGGUGAGUAAUGCUUAGGAAUCUGCCUAUUAGUGGGGGACAACAUUCCGAAAGGAAUGCUAAUACCGCAUACGCCCUACGGGGGAAAGCAGGGGAUCUUCGGACCUUGCGCUAAUAGAUGAGCCUAAGUCGGAUUAGCUAGUUGGUGGGGUAAAGGCCUACCAAGGCGACGAUCUGUAGCGGGUCUGAGAGGAUGAUCCGCCACACUGGGACUGAGACACGGCCCAGACUCCUACGGGAGGCAGCAGUGGGGAAUAUUGGACAAUGGGCGGAAGCCUGAUCCAGCCAUGCCGCGUGUGUGAAGAAGGCCUUUUGGUUGUAAAGCACUUUAAGCGAGGAGGAGGCUACUAGUACUAAUACUACUGGAUAGUGGACGUUACUCGCAGAAUAAGCACCGGCUAACUCUGUGCCAGCCGCCGCAGUAAUAC